rnacentral:sRNA from 1 species
GGUACGUCGUCAUCUUUUGUUAGAACUCUU